CAAAGAUGCUGCCGAGCUGCUGGUUUAAUUUGCCUUUUAGAGGCGUGUUAGGGAAGGCAUCUGGUUCCAAUCGUGCUGCCCCUUUGAAAGGCCGUUCUCAUUUGUCUGCAACUUCUCUGAAAGAUGAAAGCUGCUAAGCUGGAAUUGUUAGAAAAUGCAGGUCUGCAAGAGAGUGGCAGUCACUGGAGUGGGCCAGGCUUUUAUCCCAGCACCAUGGACUUGUGAUGGAAAUGCCAAAACCUCAGUGAAGAUGGACCCUGGGCACAGCUGAAGUUUCACAUUGUUCUUCUCUAGGCAAGACUGUCCUUGUGAUGCUUCUGUUCUCAGACUAAACAGUAAUGAUCCCUGCUUUGUAUCUGUCCAAAAUUCCUCCUAAAUUCAUUAUUGGGAGCCCACUAUGAUAAACAAGUAGGAAAAGAGUCUCACUGCAAUUCUUCUUUCUGCUGGGUCUUCACUUUCUGCCAUCACAAAAAGCAGCACAGAGCUCCAUUUGGAAUUUCUAGCCUGGGUUU
rnacentral:lncRNA from 1 species